rnacentral:tRNA from 1 species
GGUUGUGUAGUGUAGUGGUUAUCACUGUAAGCAACAUCUUCCGGCAACCCCGGUUCGAACCCGGGCACGACCU